rnacentral:tRNA from 1 species
AAAAAAUUAGUUAAUUAAUAACAUUAAUAUGUCAUAUUAAAAUAAUUAAAUAAAUUAAUAUUUUUUU